rnacentral:misc_RNA from 1 species
GGCCAUUAGCAUACCUCCUUGUGCUUCUCUGUGUGCUUCAGCAGCACCAGGCCUGGGCUGGCAGGGCAUUCAUCAAAACCAAAGGGCUCCAUUUUGUCCAAAAUGGCUACCCUUUCUUUGCAAAUGGGUUCAAUGCAUACUGGCUCAUGUGCAUUGCUUCAGACCCAUCACAGAGGAGCAAGGUCUCCACUGCCUUCCAGGAGGCCUC